AUUAUGAUUUCAUCUACCAUUAUCAUAGUUACCCAUGUAGUAUCAAUUUAUGUUGACAUUGCCUUGUUGUUGCAACACAUUUCUUCAUUGAUUUUACAAACUUAUAGUGAAGCAUUAUUUUGUUUAUGAUUUAGUUUUAAAGAUGAGGUACUGUAAUUAUGUGUAUACUGUAGAUUUCAUGUUUUGUUAUUUUGAUGAUUUUGCAACACAGGGGCUGAGGGAUAGUCAUUACCAUUGAAUGUCUGGUAGAAUCAGCAAUUUUUAGUCUUAACAAUUCUGUAAAAUUUCAUCAUGUUUCAGACAUAAAAAGAUGAUACUCUUUCUCUUGAAAAAUAUUAAAUUUGCAAAUUACAUUGAAAUUAAUUUACCUUAAAAUCAGUUGAUUUAUUGUACGAUUCUAUGUCAUUGUAUUUAAAUGAACUGGCAUCAAUUUGGAUGAAGUGUAUGGGUGUUUUGAAAGAAUUUUACUUUGUGAAGCAGUUACUGUUUGGAAAAUGUGUUUCAAAAUAAAUUUUUUUUCUU
rnacentral:misc_RNA from 1 species